rnacentral:lncRNA from 1 species
CGACUCCUUGUCUUGAACAAUCAGCUGUAUCCCCAUCUCUGCUUUUAUACAGAGUCUGCUUCCGUUUAGAACCUGAUAAAUUCCAGUCUUGACUGACGAUGGCUGAGGUGCAAGGGUGGGCCCAGGAACCGUGGAGGCAGGUGCAGCUGUGCGGGUGGUAUUGUGGGCAGCUGCCGUUGUUCCUGGGGCAUGGGUGGGUUGAACAGGCUUCUGACCGGUUGUGCUUUUGUGCAGUGCUAUCGAUAAAGUUGCUGGAAGGGUGGUCUGGUUACUGGGUUGAGUGGUGUUCCCAGUUGUGUGGCUGACGGUUGAUGAACUGGUUCCAGUUGUAUGAGCUGGUGGGGUGAUGGUGGGUGGCAGUGAAUAAGGGGCUAAGCUAGGGCCGACUGUAACUUCAGUAACUGGAGGAGCUGUGUGUGAGUUGUUGGAUGUGGCCUGGGUUGUGACCAGGGUGUAGGUAAUCAGGCUGGUGGUUGCAGUGUUUUUUGUAGUUGCUGGGGUAGUUGUUGGAGUUUUUACUGUGGCCGCUGUUUGAAAGGUGAUAUGACCAUCCAUGAAUCUUGCUGCUAAAGUUUGGUGAGGUGCUUGCUUAGCUGGUUGCUGGACAGGUUUUUUUAUGUCCUGUACUGUUGCUGCUGCAGUAGGUUGAGAAUAAUCUCUGGUUUCUGGAAAUGCUUUUGCUGUCAUUUGACUGCCAUCGUGC